GAGUGCUCAUUUGAAAAACAAGGAGAACAAAAACCCCAGAGAGGUGCCUGCCAGCUUCCCUUCCCCCUUGAUGAAAUGCAACAAAGGGAGCAGCUAAAUGCGGUCGGGGACACACAACUUUAAAUUAGGUGAUGUGUUCAGAAAGCAUUUUAUAAACUGUAAACUUUGAUCACGCAAGACCUGAUUGCUGUUAUCCUGGCUUCCGUGAAAUGGCACGGACUUCUGCCUCCACUCUGGUGCAUUAAAGGGCCAGGAGACGGAGCGGCCACAGUAACUGGCGCUUUGGACGGAGGUGACAGCAACUAAAGAGUUAAACUUCCCAGAAAGCUAAUUUAUGCAGAGGACUGGACCCUGCCCAGCUAAGGAUCUGAAUUACAAAUGCACAGAAUUUGCUGCUCGGUCAGUUAUUUCUUUUCUUCCUAAUGGAGCCCGUCAUUUGCAGGAGGGCCGGCCACUUCAUUUCCACUGAUGGAGUGAACAAAGUCGCGACCACAGAGGAGCCUAAUUCUACUCACCAUUCCAACUUGCCCUUUAAGGAGGGGCGCUGAGAGGGUGGGUGCCGCCAGCCCCCGGUAUCCACCAUGUGGAAAUCACGUAUUUGUGAGAGAGAAGGAGAGACAGAGCUCCCGUCUGUUGCUUCACUCCUCAAAGGGCUGCAGCACCUGGGGCUGGGCUGGCCUGAAGCUGGGAGCUGGAGCCAGAGUUCAACCCAGGCUCCAGCCUGGCCAUCACCACUGCCUCCCAGGACCUGCAUCGGCAGGAAGCGGGGGUCAGGAGCCAGAGGCGCCCAUCUAACCCAGGCAGUCUGACGUGGCACGCAGGCGUGUCAAUGCCAGGCCAAACACCUGUUCUCUGGCACACAUUUCCCGAAGGCCUUUUUGCCAGAGCUGGGGUCUAAUUUGCCUAAGGAACGGACAGGUCUCUAUCCAGCUCCAUAUUGGGAGAGAACAUGCAGUGUUGAUUUCUACCAGGGGAUGCAGCCGUGUGAGCCAGUGUGCAUGUGUCAGUACUAGUUCCAUGUGCAGUGUGUGUGUGCACAUGUAUUUAUCCAUUCUGACACACAUGUAUGUAUGCACACAUGUGCAUGUAAGAUGUAUCUGAAUCUGCAGGCAGGGGACACUGCCCAUGCAGUCACCCGCCAGCUGCUUGGGGAUCCUGGCUUCUCAGUGCAGCGGGAGCAGCUUCGUGGCCCUACCACCUCCCAGGGCAGCCCCUGCUCACCUACCGGAUACAAAGGCUCAGCACCUUGCCUGGAGGUUGGACCAACUGUGUGUAAUUCAUGUUCCGGCUGAACCUGCUCCUUGCCCAACUCCUCCUCAGCCCCUGUACUGUCCCCUCCCUCUUCCCCGGGAACCCACUGUCAGUGUGUCACACGCAUCUGAAACCUUGUCUCGGUUCAGCACUUCUCUUACGCAUCAUGAGUGGACAUGCAGAGAUACAUGUGUGGACACACGUGUGUGUAUGUGUGUGAGUGUGUGCACACAUUUACAAGGAAAUCCAGAGGGGUUUGCAAGGGGAUUAUUUUCCGAAGAAGACAAAGGAGGAAGCACACUGACUGCACACCAUCUCACACAGAGCUGGAGAGACCUGCUUCAAAAGUUGAACAUUAACAGAUACUUUAGAAGUAGAUACAUCUUUUAUUAAAUCAGAAACAGAAAGGUGCAGUAUACAUGCCUGUCAGUAGUCAAUUGUUCGCUACUUUGAAUUACAUUUUAAUAGACUCACGGUCUUAUUUCUUUCUCUGUAAAGUAUUAAAAAAAACUCAGGUAUUUGAAUAAUCUUCUGUAAAUUUUUAUUAACUGGGGUUAGGGAGAGGUUUUAUCAGAGCACAUCUUGGGAACAUUAGGAAGUUACAGACAGACCUGAGAUAAGUGUCAGACAGAACAGAGAAGCCAGUCCCUCAGCCUUGAGGAGAGGACCAAUCUGUGUUAGGCUAAAGGAGGCAGGAUUAAAGGAGCCCCUGGCGCCCCCUGGUGGUAAACUUGCAACUUCCUUUAUUUGUUGAAGCUGUCACACUGGUCCUUGUCCCUGAGCCUCUUAAGCAAUUGUUUUUCCAAUCGUCUUAAGCCCUCUCCAUUUCUCUCUGUUCAGCAACUUUCAGAGACCCUGUUAGAAAAAAGCCAUUCUUACUCAUUGCUUCUUCAUAGCCACACAUUCCAUUCCCGGAAAUUGGCGACUGCCCGAUGCAGAGCCUGUGUUCGCUGUCCUGGAAACGUGAACUCAGACAAAUGGGUUCUGGCCUCCCCUCCCCAGGCUGAGGGUGCGAGUGUGCGUCCAGCACAGAACUCCAUUCCUUCUCACUGGUGUAUUUCUUCCGUCACUUCACUCGCCUCCACCAUUUAUCAAACUGAACCCAAACGCAUGCCAACCCCCUCCUCAACCCUUCUGACCUGACUAGUCCACCUGCUAAAACACCUCGACUGUUGCUUGCCAGAAAGACUGGACCCGAGACAAAAACCGUGCCCCACAACAUACAAUCACAGCCCGGGCUGUCUCUGUAGGCAGGAUUUCACCGGACGGGCAUCCGAAGGAAAGCUAUGUACAUGGAGUCUGUCUGGGGAGGAGAUGGGGGAUGAGAGAACCCGGAGGGCACUGUGGAGAUUUGAUUACUUGGAUUUGCCGACGGGGCCGAUGGACACAGGGUCUGUUUGCACUUGAGCGUCCGACAUCCGCUUGGGUCCCUGGAGAAAGACAUAAAGACGUGGGAGCCAUUGAUCGGCAGUCAUGGUGUGCUCAGUGGGUGCUAAGCAAACACAUCUCAUUCGCGAACGCGGGAUGAAGGGUGGCCUCCUACCAGAGAUCCUGGUUCAAUGCCCAGGUACAUCACUUUCUAGCUUUGUGAAAUCUCCGACAAGUGACUUAACUCUGUGCUUCGGUUUCUUUAAGAAGGGAACGAAGACUCAUCUCAGGGAGUUGCUCCUAAGAUGCAGUGAGCUCACCUCCCCCACCCGGGGUUUCCACAUCCCCACGGUUCUAGCUCACCUUAGCCAUUGCCUCCCCGGACCACAGUCUGGUCGUAUCGCCCUGUCUUCUUUUCUUAUAAACCCAGCACUCUCUGCAGUGGUCUGACUGUCUGAUCUAACAUCUGUCUCCACGAGCACAAAAGCUCUGUGGUUCGGCACCUGUGCCCUCGGGUGUUCCAGAGCCUGGCACAGGAGAGGCGCCUUGGUAUUGACGGAAUGGGUGAGUGGGCACGAGUGUUGUUAAUUCAACUGUUCUUUUACCUUUGCUGUCAAGUGUAACCUACAAAGACUGACACUAACCCUUUCUGCACGUGGUCUAGGAGCGGAGGCUGACACACACGCGCACGCUAUCACCUCCCAACUCAGGACCUUGUAUGGCCCCUUUGUGGUUAAGACCGCCCCACUCGCAGACCCUGGAACCACCGGUGCCUUCUCUGUCCCUGAGUUUGGUCUUUCCCAGGACGCUGGAUCGUGGGAUCAGGGUGAAGAGCCUCUCAGCCUUCUUUCAGGCAGCACGUGGAUCUGAGAUUCGCCCCCGUUACUACAUACAUCAGAGGUACUAGCGAGGGCCCCAACUUAGAGGACAGGGUCCUGGAGGGUUACAGAGUACAGGACAGGACAGUAGGAUAUACCAUAGUGUCAUGUGUACAGUACAGAGAGCAUACGGACAGUACAGUGUAGCAUAGCAUAGUAUAAGAUAGUGUGUAUUAUGUGGUACAGAUGUAUGUAUAGUAUGAUGAACGUAACGUACUAUAGGACAGUUAUAUAAGUAUAUGUAACUUAUGUGCAGCAUAACUUAUAUAGUGUAGUGCACCCACAUGCGGAGUAUCGUACAGGAAAGGUACUAUAGUAGGGCACAGGAUAUAAAGUACAGUACAGUAUAAUACAUAAGGCAGGCUACUACCAUGUACUGUCAUAAAAUACAUACAAUAUGAUGCUUAGUGUUGCAUUCUAUACUAUACAUUUUAUGGUGUAGUAUGUUGUCUAGUAUGCAUGGUCUUCUAUGCAUAGUAAAUACAGUAGUAACUGCAGCACAGUACGUAUGGAUAGAUACAGGGUGUAUGUGGGGUGUGUAUAAUAGUAUCUAUGGGGCCGGCACUGUGGCACAGUAGGUUAAUCCUUCACCUGUGGAGCCAGCUUCCUAUAUGGGCACUGGUUCUAGUCCCAGCUACUCCACUUCCAAUCCAGCUCUCUGCUAUGGCCUGGGAAAGCAGUAGAAGAUGACCCAAGUGCUUGGGCCAGUGGGAAACCUGGAAGAAGUUCCUGACUCCUGGCUUCGGAUUGGCUCAACUCCGGCAUUUGCAGCCAUUUGGGGAGGGGAUGGAAGUCCUUUCUCUCUGUCUCUCCCUCUCACUGUCUGUAACCUUACCUCUCAAAUAAAUAAAUAAAAAUCUUUUAAAAAUCAG